rnacentral:tRNA from 2 species
GGAGCGGUGGCCGAGUGGACGAAGGCAACGGUCUUGAAAACCGUCGACCCGCAAGGGUCCGUGGGUUCGAAUCCCACCCGCUCCG